GCUCCUUCCUCGCUCUCAUCUCACGCAUGACCUACCUUCGCCAACCCUAGGUGUGCCGCCGCCACCAUGAUCUUCAUCUCGCAGCCCCUCAACCGCCCCGUCGGAGCGGCGCCUCCGUCUACGCCUAGCCGCCGCUGUUCUCCUUCUCAUGUCUUCCCAAAAGGUGCAGCAGGGAGCAUCUUUUUCUCGAGCCGACGACGAUCUCUAUCCCCAAAUCAGUGGCGCACUACAUCCCUGAAGCACAAGUCCGAUUUUUCAAGCCAUAUCUAGAGUCCUCAGGCGCGCCGUCCCCAGAUCCAGCAUGUCGAGCAACUAGCCGGAGAUCCUUUGUAGAUGUCAACAGAAGGUGUCAAGGUGAUCAGUAUAUUAGAGACUUCAAGUGAUCUGAACCGGAAGUUGUCAAAGUUUAGUACCUGAAUUUGGUUGAUCCGAAUGAGAAUACCAGAUGGUUGAUACGAACCGGAGCGGCUGUUUGUCUAUUCAACGGACGAAAUCGAUCCGCUGUGGUUUGAAGGAAGUAAUCAAUCUUCAGUUUCUGGUUGACUCAUGGUGGAUGAUGUAUGCCACUUGCUGGUGACGCUUAAGGCAGUGGCGUUCAUGCUGGUUGUAGUCAAUUGUUUUGGGUAAAUCUUGGAGACUGAUUCUGGCAUUUUGAUUUUGGGAAUGUUUUAGUCUUGAAUCUCAGAUGGCUAUUGGACAGGUUAUUACUAGCGCAUUUGGGGAAUUCUUAAGUUUCCAACCCCCGGUGGAUAGCGGCUGUUAAUUUUGUUCUAUUGGUUUUCCAUCAUGCUCGAAGUUAGAUGGAUUUGUGCAGAUUCUCUAAAGUAGAGGAUUGGUCAAGGCAGAUGAUUACCAACGCUAGAGUACCAGUUGUGAUGAUUUUUUUUAUCUUGGGAGUGGCUUCUCUUGUAGUGUACGCAUCCAUAUAGAAAAACGGGGAAGUUAGCACAACAUUGUUGGAUCUAUGCAAUGAAAAUAUAUCCAUUAGUUAUAUUUUUGUAUAGGAAGUUAUAUUGUAGUUUGGUUUGCACAAAGUUUUAAAUUAAAAAUCUGUACUAAUAUGCAAGUAAAUUUUCUAAUAAUAACUCACGUGUUUUCGAACAAGGCAUUCUAAUGGCAGUGAAAUUUAAAAGCCAUGAAGUUGUUGAAAUCAGGUACUGCAAUGGUCUUUUAUUUUCCAGCCAACAGGUAAUAAAAAUCAACCAUGAAAAUCUGAAGUGCUCUGUUCUUAGAGUUCCAUGGCUUAAGCAGAGAACGUCUGCAGCAGAAAACUUAUUUGGAAAAUGUUGUUUUUGAAAUGUUUAUUGGGGGAAUCUCCCAAAUAGAACUGUAUUAGCUGAAUUAUGUUGCUUAACUUUUUGAUCCAGUUUUUUCAUUAAAAAAAGGCAGCCCAGUGCAUGUAGCUCCCACUUGCGCAGGGUCCGGGGAAAGGUCUGACCACUUUGGGUCUAUAGUACGUGGCCUUUCCCUACACAUUUCUGUAAGAGGCUGUUUGAGACUUGGAACCCAUGAGGUCAUGGUCACAUGGCAGCAGCUUUACCACUGCGCCUACCUAAGAAUUACUUCAUGUUCUGGUUCCCUUUUUCUGUUAUGUCUUGUGAGCAUACACAAAGCUGUCCAGGGAGUAUAUAUCUUCUCCAAGAAGCAAAGGUAAAAUCUAAUUAGAAGAAUGCGUGUUUUUAGUAGUAGCACCUAACCUCCUUAUUGGAUUUGCUUAAAGUGUAUGGGUUCCUGUGGUCUCCACGUGAUGUGUGUAUGGAUGCCAGGUCAAUUUGUUUGCAGGUAUCCACUAACCCAGGAAACACCACAGAACCUGUUUGCCUCUUAGAAUCAGACAUCACAGAGCAGCCAUUUCGGCAAUUCUCAAAUGUUCAUGUCCAUUCCAAGCUUUACAUAUAUAUCUUUCCUUGAAAUAAAUAAAUUCUAAUUAGAAACAAGCCCAUCAUAAAGGAGGACCUAGCAAUUUUAUUUCCAUAGAUUGAAGAAAUAAAUGAAGAACUUGGUUUUUGCUUAAUAUGUGCGUAUAUUAUUUGAAUCCUUCCUGCUAUUUUUAUGAAGCAUCACUUCUUAAUCAUCAUUUAUGGAGGUUCUUUCAGUAUGUAGUCUAUAGAUGUUGCUUUAUUUAUAAGUGUAUAUAUUUUCUGUAGAUGGCAUCUCAAGCACUUGCUCAAAUAAAUUAUAAUUUAUUUAUACAUGCUGGUUUUGAUGUGAAUAAAAUUACCUAUAUAGGCUUUACUUGAUGGCAGCGACGAACAGUGUCCUACCUUGUAUGAUUAAGUGCUCACUAGAUGCUGGUGCUAACCCCAAAUAUUCCUGGCCAAGGAUACUGGAAGAGGGGUUGUUGACUGUUGAUGUUAUUAAAGUAGACUUCACUAUUCAGAUUGAUAAAGUUGAAAUCUGGUCUUCCUGCAUUAUAGUUUCCAUUUCCACUAGAGGAUUUCACUUUCAUUACCACUGAUGUUUUAUUUAGCAUUAGCGCUAAUUCAUUUAUUUCCUUCAAAUUGAAAGCAAAUAGUAUUAUCAUCUGAAACCUCACACCUGUAAUUUGAAUGUUGUCAGUAUCAAAGAAAUAAUACUUGCCAUUUUAUAACUUAGUAGUUGGCAAGUUGUCUGUGAGCUACCAAUUGAGCAUAGAAUAGAGGUGGAGGUAUUGUGCUAUUGUUUCUGACUGAAUUGGCGCUAAUGCACGAUUGAGCUGAUGAUAGUGCAUGUAGUUUUAAGUGUAGCCGACUGAGGAUGAUACAUUGCUUCUUAAAGUUUAAUCUAUGACUAGGGGAAGUACCUAUACUAAUUUGCUCUCAGUUUGUUUUGUAUUUUGUGAUUUUGUUUAUUAUAGAUUGAUUCAAACAAUGAUAGUCGGCUUUGUAACCGAUUUCCUUUACAUAUAUUUCUUUUUAAGAUUCAGAUUUGCCUGAUACCGGCUAGCACACCGACCAUUUGGUACAUCAAGCGUUGGAUUGAGAAAUAUGCACUGUGUCUACCAGUUUUCUAUUGUUCACAUUUUAUUAUAUGUUUUCAAAGUAUCUACAAAUAAGACGCAUAACCAGCCCAUUGAAAAUGAUUAACCUUCAUUCUGGACUCAUGUUUGGAAAGAAAACAUAAAUUUUGCUGAAAAAGAACUCUACGCUUUUACAUAAAUUCCUAGCACUUUAUACUACAUUAAAAAAAGAUGGGUGCAACAACGCACGCCAUCAAUGAUCUAGUGUAUAAUGUUACUAUACGAUGUUUUUCAACAGGGACUCCCGAUGACA